GACGAACCGUGCGAACGUUAUUCGGAAUCACUGGGCUUAAAGCGCGUGUAGGCGGGCCGGCACGUCGGUCGCUGAAAUCCCCCGGCUCAACCGGGGAAGGGGCGCCGAUACGACCGGCCUGGAGGGGGGUAGGGGGCGCUGGAACUCACGGUGGAGCGGUGAAAUGCGUUGAGAUCGUGAGGAACGCCCGCGGCGAAAGCGAGCGCAUGGACCCUUUCUGACGCUGAGACGCGAAAGCCAGGGGAGCGAACGGG
rnacentral:rRNA from 1 species